GAUUACCUGCUGAACUUAAGCAUAUCACUAAGCGGAGGAAAAGAAACUAACCAGGAUUCCCCUAGUAACGGCGAGUGAAGAGGGAAUAGCCCAGCACCGAAGCCUGCGGUAGGUUUACUGCUAGGCAAUGUGGUGUUUGGGUCGACUCGCGGGAUUGCCACUCCACUCGAAGUCCAGCACUGAGUAUGGUUCCCUGGAUUUGGCCCAGAGAGGGUGAAAGGCCCGUGCGAGUGGAGGUUCAGACAUGUGAGGCAAUUCACCAGGUCGACCUUCGAGUCGGGGUGUUUGGGAAUGCAGC
rnacentral:rRNA from 1 species